UACGUAGGGUGCAAGCGUUAAUCGGAAUUACUGGGCGUAAAGCGUGCGCAGGCGGUGAUGUAAGACAGAUGUGAAAUCCCCGGGCUUAACCUGGGAAUGGCGCUUGUUACUGGCAGACUAGAGUGCGUCAGAGGGGGGUGGAAUUCCACGUGUAGCAGUGAAAUGCGUAGAGAUGUGGAGGAACACCGAUGGCGAAGGCAGCCCCCUGGGAUGACACUGACGCUCAUACACGAAAGCGUGGGGAGCAAACAGG
rnacentral:rRNA from 1 species